GGGGGCGGUAAUGCAACAUAUUGGAUACGAACCGCGCUUAAACACCGAAGAUGGUGAUGAAGAAGAAGAACGGAAGCGCGAUUGUGCACGCAUCUCCGAUUUGAAACAUGGUUGGCAUUUAUCGACAUCGUUUGCCUAAAUAGAUCUCCUUACAAAUGUUGAAUUGGUCCAAUAUCAACAUUUGCCAUAGUGUGAGAACUGGAAAUAUACUGAUUAUUUAUUGCUCAUUGUCUAGCAAAAUUGUUUAAACAUAUUUACUUAAUCACGGCGAAUAAAUACUGGGCUGGACAGGAUGGCCAGCUACAAUUUUCAGGAGCAGUUUGUAUCCAUUAUGGAAGUAUUGGCUAAAGCAGCAGUAGCAGAAAUAAACAAACGUGUAGAUGAUAGUUGUGCUGUUAUACGUUUGGAAAUGACCCAAAGCCAGCGAGAUAUUGAUGUACUGAAAAGGAAGUGUCAAAUGAUGGAGAGCGAGCUGAAGAAGACGCGCAGACGAAAAGGUUUUUACCCCGUGGCAUCAGAGAGAUCUUCAUAUCCAGUCAAGAUUGUUUUGAACAAGCAGAGGAGUACCUCACAGUGGAGAGACAGCAAGAUGGCUGUUGAAGGGGACUCUCAACCCCUGGUGUGAUACAUCACCUUUUACAAUUACAGAGACCUGACAUCUUGGAUCAAUUCUGUUAUUGGAAUAUCAGGAGAAUUUACCACUUGUGUGAUUCAUGAGUAUGAAAAGGGUUAGAUAUGGUGUGUGUCCUGAGUAAUAACCUCCGUCCCUGUUACAGCCUACAGAUGUGGAGCAGAGAGUGGAGACUGAACCCAUACUGAUCAAAGAUGAGGAGACAGCAGAGGACGUGUGGAAGACUAACGCUCAGGAAGAGCUCAGGAUCACUGGAGAGGAGUCUGGUUCCAAGCCUGGGAAAUCACCAUCCUUUGAGCAACGGCACUGUGAUGAGGACUUCGUCACACAACCCAAUAUAUCUCCCAAAGACUCAGUAAAACAUUACCCCAAUUCUGAUCGUCCAGAGGAACCAGGAACACCCCGGCUCGCAUCUACAGAGGUAUUCAGCACAGAGCAGCACCGGCCAGACGAGGACUCGCUAGACCUAGUGAUGGUGAAAGAGGAGGAGCUGGAUCAGACCACAACCCUGGCAGGACCUGACCAGUUUGUCAUGGAUCAGUCUGAUGGGCAGCUGUGGACCUCUGUGGAUCCAGGCAGAGACACUGACCCUGAUGGACACCCAGAUUUCUCCUUUCAAUCCACAGAAGAGUACUCUCAGAAUAUCUCAAUUUUCCCAUCUCAUAGUGGGCUGUCAUCUGUUCCUACUAUGACAGAUGA